rnacentral:rRNA from 1 species
AGCAGCCGCGGUAAUUCCAGCUCCAAUAGCGUAUAUUAAAGUUGCUGCAGUUAAAAAGCUCGUAGUUGAAUUUCGGGACUAAUAUGUUGGUCGUGCCUCGGUACGUACUGAUAUUUUUGGUUUCUCCCUUCUGACGAACCUUGAUGUCAUUAAUUUGGUGUCUUGGGAAAUCAGGACUGUUACUUUUGAAAAAUUAGAGUGUUUAAAGCAGGCUCACGCUUGAAUACAUUAGCAUGGAAUAAUGAAAUAGGACGUUUGAUUCUAUUUUGUU